UGCGGCCGAUACCCUCCCCCCGCCCUCCCCCACCACGUAGCCCUCUCUACCUUCAGUCGGGAAUCAAUGGUGUGGUCGCAGAUUGGUGACAUCAUUGGCGCGCCGGGCGUGGGAGGAAGAACCACGUGAUUCUACCCUCUUUUGUUUGCGCUCUAGGAAAUCAAGGCUCAUAAAGUGAUAUAAGGAGUAUUCCCUCUUUGUGUAUCCUCUGGAAGAAUUUUAAUAAGAUUGGAGUGAUUCUCCUUUCAAGCAUCAGUAGAAUUCACCAAUAAAACUGUCUGGAACUGAGUUUAGUGGCUCACACCUAUAAUCUCAACUACUUGACAGGCUCAAGCAGAAGGAUCACUUGAAGCAAGGAAUUCAAGACCAGCCUGAGCAACAUAACAAGACUCCAUCUCCAAAAAACAAAAACCAAGCAAAACAAAACAGAACAGAACAGCAAAACCAUCUGGGCUAGGUAUUUUCCUUGUGUGAAGAUUGUAAAAUACAACUUUGAUUUAUUUAAUA